rnacentral:lncRNA from 1 species
AUGAUACCAAGAUUGCAUUCGAUCAAGAAACUUUCAAUGUUGGACAUGGAGCCGGAUUCGAAGAUUGUUGCUACCAAGUUGUUGCCCGACCCUCUAAAGCUGAUCUCUCCUUUUUGGAUGAGGAUGAGGGCGAAGAGGAGGCUGCGAAGGAGCUAGCAUCUCCUAUGAUUGCUGAGAGGUAGGUUGAAAAUGAAGUGCCAGUGCUUGCAAUUUCUCCAUCACCUACCAUCAGUCCAUCUGAAGCAUCUCUGGACCCCUUAAGAGUUGCACCCAAUCCCUCCGAUCUUCAAG